AGGUCACCGAGAUAGCACCGGCUCUCUGGAGACAGGCGUGACCCCCAGGCCAGUCACUAGGACCAACAGAUGUCCCAAGGAAGACACCGGCCAUGACUGCAUCCUGGAACCAUAUCAAACUGGCAGCACUUACUUCUCUGGACUUGUUUUUGUUUCACCAAAUUUGCUGGAUCUGUUGGCAAGUUUGAGUGAACAGUCUCAGACUGCAAAGCAAGUCAGCACUACCACAGAGGGAAUCCCAAACUCGCUGCUGAGAACAGAACAGCUGUGCCCUCGCCGACUGGGACCCGAGUGACAUCUACUGGAGCAAGCAGGGGCUGCACGUGAGCAGGCAGCCAUUCGGUCACUCCCCGUCAUUCCAACACAAUCGAAUUUGUGUAGAAAAUUUACAUGCAUCAUAGGCUAUUUAUGAAUAUAUGCACACGUAGAAAGAGGAAAAAUACGCUUGGAAAUGGUAAACAUAACUUCAAGAUAGUAGUUACCCUUGGGUUCGGUAGGGGUGAAGGAGUGGUAAGGGUUUUAGUUUUAUCUUUAACCAUUUCUUUUUUCACUUACUUAUUUGUAGAGAUGGGAGUCUCACUAUGUUGCCCAGGGUAGUCCUGGU
rnacentral:lncRNA from 1 species